GGGUUGGUUACCUCUCUGGGCCUCCAUACAAAGGAAAUACAUCAUGGCCACCUCCAGCACCUGCACCACCACUUUAUCCAUCUCGGCCACCACCAAAUCCACGGUCUCCUUGCUGAGAUGACCCUCCUCAACCCCAACAACAGUAUGGAAGGCCUACUGGGUAUCAAGAAAGAGGAAGGGGAAGCCCUCCUCAACCCCCAUCAUUAGAUAUUCAAGUGGUCUACCAUACUGUUGUUGGGGUUGAGGAGGGCCUUCUCAGCAAGGAGACUGUGGAUAUGGUAGUGGCCGAGGUGGAUACGGUGGUGGUACAGAUGUUAGCGGUGGCCAUGAUGUAGUUUCUUCAUACGGCGGCCCAGAGAGGUAACCAACACCAGAGCUGUACCAAGCUACCUCAACUCAAUCAGCACCCUAUCAAGAUUUGGUGUCUCCUCCACCUGCUCCCCAAUCUGAGGCAAGUUCAUUUCCCAGCCACAAGAGGUGUCUGAAGUUGAACAGGAUCUGGGACAAAUGACAUUUCAUUCUGGAGACUCAUUCCCCUCCUCCACAAAGUAAAUCAUCGCCGACGUUUCCCUUUCGCUCCGGAAAGGGGAGCUAUGGCAAGAUAUGUGUUGUUAUGGCAAACCAUUUUUUUCCCGAGUUACCUUAAAAGGAAGGACCUUCAUCAGUAUGAUGUAACCGUUACUCCAGAAGCGACUUCUAGAGGUGUGAAUUGUGCAAGUAUGGAGCAGUUUGUGAGUAGUAAGUUGUAUCAUGAUUCAUACUUGGGAAAGAGACUUCCCUAUUAUGAUGGCUAUAAGUGGCUUAUACUACAAGCCCGCUUCCUUUUAUUUUAAGGACUUUAGAGUCACCCUACAAACUGAUGGGGAAUAUCAUUAAAGCCUCUAAACCUUACCCUUUUAAGCAAAAAAUUGUAAAACAAAUUUUCCCCAAAUUUAGAGAAAGGAAGAGGGCUUUUGCACCAUUUUUUUCUUGGUAAUUUGUGAGUUUGUGCAUCUGUAUGUAUCAGUGUAAGACAUAUUUAUUUAACUGUACUGCUCUUUUAUUUUAAGAGCUACUUUGUAUGCCAGGUAAAAUGCCUCAGACGAUACCGUUGCAAAAGGCAUUUCCAUUGGAGAAAAGUAUGAUCCUGUUCUUGGAUAUGUUAUAAAUAUCAACUAUGCUCAUGAGGGAAAAUGCCUAUCUGAAUUUAAUAUCGUUGUUACUCAUUCAUUGUUCUCUACAUUUAAUAAAAAUAUUGUUUCUUGUGGUAUGGAAAAUCAUAUACCUAAUGGUGUUACCAUAGAUUUCCAGAUUAUUGUACUUUAUAUUACAUUUCUCAACUAUUUGUGGAUCUACAUGAUAUCACUGAGUUUUAUUCAGUGGGAGAUUAUCAAUAGUGUCUAAAUUCUAUUUAUUAUGACAUUACAUAUAAGAAACACGACGUUUAUGUUCC